rnacentral:tRNA from 1 species
GAGGGUAUAGCUCAGUAGGUUAGAGCGACAGAUUGUGGUUCUGUAGGUCGUGGGUUCGAGACCCAUUACUCUCC